CAGCCGCCGCGGUAAUACGGAGGGUGCAAGCGUUAAUCGGAAUUACUGGGCGUAAAGCGCACGCAGGCGGUCUGACAAGUCAGAUGUGAAAUCCCCGGGCUUAACCUGGGAACUGCAUUUGAAACUGUCAGGCUGGAGUCUUGUAGAGGGGGGUAGAAUUCCAGGUGUAGCGGUGAAAUGCGUAGAGAUCUGGAGGAAUACCGGUGGCGAAGGCGGCCCCCUGGACAAAGACUGACGCUCAGGUGCGAAAGCGUGGGGAGCAAACAGGAUUAGAGACCCCGGUAGUCCCUGUCUCUUAUAA
rnacentral:rRNA from 1 species